rnacentral:rRNA from 1 species
UUCGGGAAGGUGUCCUAGCGGCGAACGGGUGAGUAACACGUGGGCAACCUGCCCUCAGCUCUGGGAUAACUCCGGGAAACCGGGGCUAAUACCGGAUACGACCUCUAAGGGCAUCCGAAGAGGUGGAAAGUUUUUCGGCUGAGGAUGGGCCCGCGGCCUAUCAGCUUGUUGGUGGGGUAAAGGCCUACCAAGGCGACGACGGGUAGCCGGCCUGAGAGGGUGACCGGCCACACUGGGACUGAGACACGGCCCAG